UACGUAGGGUGCGAGCGUUAAUCGGAAUUACUGGGCGUAAAGUGUGCGCAGGCGGCCGAGCAAGUCGAGUGUGAAAGCCCCGGGCUUAACUUGGGAAUUGCGCUCGAAACUACUUGGCUGGAGUGUGGCAGAGGAAGGUGGAAUUCCAGGUGUAGCGGUGAAAUGCGUAGAUAUCAAGAGGAACACCUGAGGUGAAGACGGGUUGCUGGGCUGACACUGACGCUGAGGCGCGAAAGCCAGGGGAGCAAACGGG
rnacentral:rRNA from 1 species